UACGAAGGGGGCUAGCGUUGUUCGGAUUUACUGGGCGUAAAGCGCACGUAGGCGGAUCGUUAAGUCGGGGGUGAAAUCCUGGAGCUCAACUCCAGAACUGCCUUCGAUACUGGCGAUCUUGAGUCCGGAAGAGGUGAGUGGAACUCCUAGUGUAGAGGUGGAAUUCGUAGAUAUUAGGAAGAACACCAGUGGCGAAGGCGGCUCACUGGUCCGAUACUGACGCUGAUGCACGAAAGCGUGGGGAGCAAACAGG
rnacentral:rRNA from 1 species